rnacentral:ncRNA from 1 species
UAUCUUUGCGCCCGAAAAAAAAAAAUUACAUAAUAAUCAUUAAAUUAAUAUUGGAAUG